rnacentral:rRNA from 1 species
ACAGGGAUUGCCCUAGUAACGGCGAGUGAAGCGGCAACAGCUCAAAUUUGAAAUCUGGCUCUUUCAGAGUCCGAGUUGUAAUUUGCAGAGGGCGCUUUGGCGUUGGCAGCGGUCCAAGUUCCUUGGAACAGGACGUCACAGAGGGUGAGAAUCCCGUACGUGGUCGCUGGCCUUCGCCGUGUAAAGCCCCUUCGACGAGUCGAGUUGUUUGGGAAUGCAGCUCUAAAUGGGAGGUAAAUUUCUUCUAAAGCUAAAUACUGGCCAGAGACCGAUAGCGCACAAGUAGAGUGAUCGAAAGAUGAAAAGCACUUUGGAAAGAGAGUCAAAUAGCACGUGAAAUUGUUGAAAGGGAAGCGCUUGCAGCCAGACUUGCCUGUAGUUGCUCAUCCGGGCUUUUGCCCGGUGCACUCUUCUGCGGGCAGGCCAGCAUCAGUUUGGGCGGUUGGAUAAAGGUCUCUGUCAUGUACCUCCUUUCGGGGAGGCCUUAUAGGGGAGACGACAUGCAACCAGCCUGGACUGAGGUCCGCGCAUUUGCUAGGAUGCUGGCGUAAUGGCUGUAAGCGGCCCGUCUUGAAACACGGACCAAGGAGUCUAACAUCUAUGCGAGUGUUUGGGUGUCAAGCCCGAGCGCGCAAUGAAAGUGAACGGAGGUGGGAACCCUUAAGGGUGCACCAUCGACCGAUCCUGAAGUCUUCGGAUGGAUUUGAGUAAGAGCAUGGCUGUUGGGACCCGAAAGAUGGUGAACUAUGCUUGAAUAGGGUGAAGCCAGAGGAAACUCUGGUGGAGGCUCGCAGCGGUUCUGACGUGCAAAUCGAUCGUCAAAUUUGGGCAUAGGGGCGAAAGACUAAUCGAACUAUCUAGUAGCUGGUUCCUGCCGAAGUUUCCCUCAGGAUAGCAGUAACGUAUUCAGUUUUAUGAGGUAAAGCGAAUGAUUAGAGGCCUGGGGGUUGAAACAACCUUCACCUAUUCUCAAACUUUAAAUAUGUAAGAAGUCCUUGUUACUUAAUUGAACGUGGACACUUGAAUGUACCGUUACUAGUGGGCCAUUUUUGGUAAGCAGAACUGGCGAUGCGGGAUGAACCGAACGCGGGGUUAAGGUGCCAGAAUGCACGCU